AAUAGAUACCCCGGUAGUCCAUGCCGUAAACGUUGGGAACUAGAUGUAGGGCCUGUUCCACGGGUUCUGUGUCGUAGCUAACGCAUUAAGUUCCCCGCCUGGGGAGUACGGCCGCAAGGCUAAAAACUCAAAGGAAUUGACGGGGGGCCCGCACAAGCGGCGGAGCAUGCGGAUUAAUUCGAUGCAACGCGAAGAACCUUACCAAGGCUUGACAUAUAGCAGAACACCGUAGAAAUACGGGACUCUUUGGACACUGUUAUACAGGUGGUGCAUGGUUGUCGUCAGCUCGUGUCGUGAGAUGUUCGGUUAAGUCCGGCAACGAGCGCAACCCUCGUCCUAUGUUGCCAGCACGUUAUGGUGGGAACUCAUGGGAUACUGCCGUGGUCAACACGGAGGAAGGUGGGGAUGACGUCAAAUCAUCAUGCCCCUUAUGUCUUGGGCUUCACGCAUGCUACAAUGGCCGAUACAAUGGGCUGCGAUACCGCGAGGUGGAGCGAAUCCCAAAAAGUCGGUCUCAGUUCGGAUUGGGGUCUGCUAACCG
rnacentral:rRNA from 1 species